UCUGGGACAAACAGAAACCAAAACACAUCUUGAAGCUACUCUUCCUCAUCUAACUGCUGCCUCCAGUCUGAACCCAGAAAGUUCUUGAUUAUUUGAACUGAUUGUCGAUCAGGGUCCCCUUCAUUUUUGCUUUCUUGGCUUCCAAUUCAGCCAACUCCUGCAGCCUCCUCUUGCUCAGGCCUUUGCGCUCCAGCUGCUUUUCAAUCACUUUGGCAUUCUGCGCGUAAGAGUCAGCAACUUCCCUAGCCUCUAUCUCCUCUUCUUCUUCAUCAAUGGUAGACACAGUAACAGAGCUGAACUUGCCCAUGUCUUUAGUCCUUUUGGUCAUCAUAACCUUCUUAGGAGGCUCUUGUUUCUGAGUAUAUAUAUUGGUUUUCCCAAAGCCUUGGCCAAAUUUCACUACUGCUCCAUCCACAAUGAAGGUCACAGGAGCAUUCUUCGGCUGGGAUUGGUAGAAGAGCGGCAGUCCACACUUUGCACACUUCUUCCUGUACUGACGUUCAAUGCCCUCAGGCCUCCGAAGAUAAGUAGUCUCCUCAUCUUCUGUGUUACAAAACUUGUGAGCAUGUUUGGCAGCAUCGAUCACGCGAGACCGGUCCCGGGGCCUCAUGGGCAAUUUCUCUAACUGGCAAUCCAGCACCAGGACCAUCUGGCCACAUAAACAGUAGUAGACAUGGAGGGGCUUCUCGCCAUCAUCAUAUUCCUCGCGGUUCCGGGUGUCUGAGCAGACCACCGACCGCGACACGACUUUCGGCAUAGCUCCGGCAGAGCAGCCAGAAAACUCCCAGAAAAUGAAGAGUCGCGCCGAGAUGGCGUCACAGACACUCCGGCAUGAGUCGCCUUAGACCUGUACUGAGGACUUACAAAGAACAGCUAAUAUGUGGAGUGCAGAGGCAAAUCAAACAGGGGUGCUAACCUUCACCAUACUUACUGUCUAGCGAUAAAGAAAGAAGUACAUCUUCAAAAAACACCCUGAGAAGGGUGUGCUCUUAGAGUGUGGCCAUCCGCAAUUGAAGGCAAACUCUUCUGUGUGCAGAGAAGAGGAGGAGGCACAAAGUGUGUGGAGUAGAGCUUGGUAAGCUGACAAGAACAAAACAAAGACUGACAUAGCAGCAUGCUUAUUAUGUG
rnacentral:lncRNA from 1 species